rnacentral:tRNA from 1 species
GACUCUGUGGCCCAAUGGAUAAGGCGCUGGUCUACGAAACCAGAGAUUCUGGGUUCGAUCCCCAGCAGAGUCGAUCUUUCUUUUUUUUUCCUUUCGUUUAAUUGUUAUUUUGAAUGCACUGCCUUAUAGCUAAGUUUGGAAUGUCGUAACAAUCAGUCAGGAUGGCCAAGUGUUCUAAAUUCACUUCUGACAUUUUGGGUUCGAUCGCCAGACUCAAGUUCUGGUUUUCGAAAGAGGGUGUGGGUUCGAAUCCCGCUUCUGACA